GACGAACGCUGGCGGCGUGCUUAACACAUGCAAGUCGAACGGUGAAGGGGUCUGCUUUUGUGGGCCCUGGAUGAGUGGCGAACGGGUGAGUAACACGUGAGUAACCUGCCCCCUUCUUCUGGAUAACCGCAUGAAAGUGUGGCUAAUACGGGAUAUUCUGGGUCUGUCGCAUGAUGGGUCUGGGAAAGAUUGCGCCUUUGGGUGUUUUUGGUGGGGGAUGGGCUCGCGGCCUAUCGGCUUGUUGGUGGGGUGAUGGCCUACCAAGGCGGUGACGGGUAGCCGGCCUGAGAGGGUGGACGGUCACACUGGGACUGAGACACGGCCCAGACUCCUACGGGAGGCAGCAGUGGGGAAUAUUGCACAAUGGGCGCAAGCCUGAUGCAGCGACGCCGCGUGAGGGAUGGAGGCCUUCGGGUUGUAAACCUCUUUCGCCAGUGAAGCAGGCCUGCUCCUUGUGGGUGGGUUGACGGUAGCUGGAGAAGAAGCGCCGGCUAACUACGUG
rnacentral:rRNA from 1 species